AUCUUCUCAUAGGGAAGCUGGG
rnacentral:piRNA from 1 species